GUUUUUAUAGUUGAAAUACAGCGAGGGCUUUUCGUGCCUUAGGUCUUGGUUUAAAGUCCAAGUAAAAAUA
rnacentral:tRNA from 1 species